UCUUCCCUCUUUCUUCGUGCCUAAUACAUGCAAGUCGAGCGAACAGACGAGGAGCUUGCUCCUCUGACGUUAGCGGCGGACGGGUGAGUAACACGUGGAUAACCUACCUAUAAGACUGGGAUAACUUCGGGAAACCGGAGCUAAUACCGGAUAAUAUAUUGAACCGCAUGGUUCAAUAGUGAAAGACGGUUUUGCUGUCACUUAUAGAUGGAUCCGCGCCGCAUUAGCUAGUUGGUAAGGUAACGGCUUACCAAGGCGACGAUGCGUAGCCGACCUGAGAGGGUGAUCGGCCACACUGGAACUGAGACACGGUCCAGACUCCUACGGGAGGCAGCAGUAGGGAAUCUUCCGCAAUGGGCGAAAGCCUGACGGAGCAACGCCGCGUGAGAGAUGAAGGUCUUCGGAUCGUAAAACUCUGUUAUUAGGGAAGAACAAAUGUGUAAGUAACUAUGCACGUCUUGACGGUACCUAAUCAGAAAGCCACGGCUAACUACGUG
rnacentral:rRNA from 1 species